AACCCAGUGUGACUCGUCACACUAUCAUUAACUGAAUCCAUAGGUUAAUGAGGCGAACCGGGGGAACUGAAACAUCUAAGUACCCCGAGGAAAAGAAAUCAACCGAGAUUCCCCCAGUAGCGGCGAGCGAACGGGGAGGAGCCCAGAGCCUGAAUCAGCAUGUGUGUUAGUGGAAGCGUCUGGAAAGGCGCGCGAUACAGGGUGACAGCCCCGUACACAAAAGCGCAUGUGCUGUGAGCUCGAUGAGUAGGGCGGGACACGUGGUAUCCUGUCUGAAUAUGGGGGGACCAUCCUCCAAGGCUAAAUACUCCUGACUGACCGAUAGUGAACCAGUACCGUGAGGGAAAGGCGAAAAGAACCCCGGCGAGGGGAGUGAAAAAGAACCUGAAACCGUGUACGUACAAGCAGUGGGAGCCCCACCACCAAAGCAUUUGCUGUACCGCGUUGACGGAGCGAAGCGACGUCAAACCGAUAAAACAGCAGUGUAAAGUGAGCCGCAGGGCGCUUUGCGCGACAGCGCAAAGGCAGGCGGUUUCGCGUAGCGAAAGCGAAUGCUUUGGGGUGGGGUGACUGCGUACCUUUUGUAUAAUGGGUCAGCGACUUAUAUUCUGUAGCAAGGUUAACCGAAUAGGGGAGCCGGAGGGAAACCGAGUCUUAAUUGGGCGUUAAGUUGCAGGGUAUAGACCCGAAACCCGGUGAUCUAGCCAUGGGCAGGUUGAAGGUUGGGUAACACUAACUGGAGGACCGAACCGACUAAUGUUGAAAAAUUAGCGGAUGACCUGUGGCUGGGGGUGAAAGGCCAAUCAAACCGGGAGAUAGCUGGUUCUCCCCGAAAGCUAUUUAGGUAGCGCCUCGUGAAUUCAUCUCCGGGGGUAGAGCACUGUUUCGGCUAGGGGGCCAUCCCGGCUUACCAACCCGAUGCAAACUGCGAAUACCGGAGAAUGUUAUCACGGGAGACACACGGCGGGUGCUAACGUCCGUCGUGAAGAGGGAAACAACCCAGACCGCCAGCUAAGGUCCCAAAGUCAUGGUUAAGUGGGAAACGAUGUGGGAAGGCCCAGACAGCCAGGAUGUUGGCUUAGAAGCAGCCAUCAUUUAAAGAAAGCGUAAUAGCUCACUGGUCGAGUCGGCCUGCGCGGAAGAUGUAACGGGGCUAAACCAUGCACCGAAGCUGCGGCAGCGACACUGUGUGUUGUUGGGUAGGGGAGCGUUCUGUAAGCCUGUGAAGGUGUGUCGUGAGGC
rnacentral:rRNA from 2 species